AAUUUUCAAUGGUGGAACUUUAUACACUGGGAACUUUAAACACUGAGAUAUAAUUUUGGCGGGCAAUUGGAGUGGGGGUAGAUAUACCUCCCUAGACUCAUUCAAACACUCAAAGUGUUAAAACACAUGGAAAACAGGACAGUGUGGUGUUUCUCCCAGAAAUAAAAAGGUGCAUAGAGGACGAUGUGAAAGCUGUGUCUUCUCUCUCAAGGACAAAUGGACUGGAAAUUAGGAUUUGUUCUCAGUCCCGUCUGAACUGUCUUGUCUGGCCCUGUUUCCACCCAGGAAGCCGCAGAUCCUGACUCCUUGUGUUUGUUUCUCUGCCCAGAUGAGAAACACCCAUCACCUCUGACUUUCCAAGGAGCAAAUCACGCUCCGUGCCGGGCUCCCCCAACAACACCACUCCCUCUUCCCUUGCGAUCUCCAGGUCCUCCUUUGACACUUCACUUCUCCUGAGAAUCAUACUGCUUCUGUUUCUACUCUGCAUGCCAGAAGUUAUUGCUUUCAUCUAUUCAAUAAAGAUUUAUUUUAAG
rnacentral:lncRNA from 1 species